rnacentral:rRNA from 1 species
UACGUAGGGUCCAAGCGUUAUCCGGAAUCACUGGGCGUAAAGCGUGCGUAGGCGGCGUGUUAAGUGUGAUGUUAAAUCGUGUGGCUCAACCAUAUCGAUGCAUCACAUACUGGCAUGCUAGAGGAAGGCAGAGGCAAGUGGAAUUUGUAGUGUAGCAGUGAAAUGCGUAGAUAUUACAAGGAACACCAAUGGCGAAGGCAGCUUGCUGGGCCUUUUCUGACGCUGAGGUAGAAAGCGUGGGGAGCGAACAGG